rnacentral:rRNA from 1 species
GACGAACGCUGGCGGCGUGCUUAACACAUGCAAGUCGAACGAAGUGGCGAACGGGUGAGUAACGCGUAAUCAACCUGCCCUUCAGAGGGGGACAACAGUUGGAAACGACUGCUAAUCCCGCAUACUGAAGGAGGGGAUUGCGUCUGAUUAGCUAGUUGGGGGGGUAACGGCCCACCAAGGCGAGGAUCAGUAGCCGGUCUGGAAGGAUGAACGGCCGCAAUGGGACUGAGAAACGGCCCAGACUCCUACGGGAGGCAGCAAUGGGGAAUCUUUCGAAAUGGACGAAAGUCUGACGGAGCAACGCCGCGUGAGUGAUGACGGCCUUCGGGUUGGAAAGCUCUGUUAAUCGGGACGCGGUACCGGAAUAGAAAGCCACGGCUAACUACGUGCCAGCAGCCGCGGUAAUUC